GACCGCUCCGGUGGCCUAGUGGUUAGAGCGUCCGUCUCAGAUGCUGGAGGUCGAGGGUUCUAUCCCCGGUCGAGUCA